rnacentral:rRNA from 1 species
GAUGAACGCUGGCGGCGUGCCUAAUACAUGCAAGUCGAGCGAACAGACGAGGAGCUUGCUCCUCUGACGUUAGCGGCGGACGGGUGAGUAACACGUGGAUAACCUACCUAUCAGACUGGGAUAACUUCGGGAAACCGGCGCUAAUACCGGAUAAUAUAUUGAACCGCAUUGUUCAAUAGUGAAAGACGGUUUUGCUGUCACUUAUAGAUGGAUCCGCGCCGCAUUAGCUAGUUGGUAAGGUAACGGCUUACCAAGGCAACGAUGCGUAGCCGACCUGAGAGGGUGGUAGGCCGCACUGGAACGGAGCCGCGGUCAAGACUCCUAAGGGAGGGAGCAGUAGGGAAUCGUCCGCAAUAGGCGAAAGCAUGACGGAGCAACGGCGAGUGAGAGAUGAAGGUCUUCGGAUCGUAAAACUCGGUUAUUAGGGAAGAACAAAUGUGUAAGUAACUAUGCACGUCGUGACGGUACCUAAUCAGAAAGCCACGGCUAACUACGUG